AUCCUUCUCUGCUUUCCUACGCUUGAUUGAUUCUUCAAAAGCUUCUCGCCUUGCAUCUUCUGCCUCCGCGACAUACUGCUCAAGUCUAUCCAAUAGUUCAUCAUUCAUGCAUCCAGCUGGCUCAUCAUUAAAACUUUCUGCCCGCUAUUUUCCCCUAAUCAUCAAAAAACUUAAGAAGCAUAUUAGAUCUACAUCCAGCUGGCUCAUCAUUUAAACUCUCUGCCUGCUAUUUUCCCCCAAUCAUCAAAAAAUUUAAGAAGCAUAUUAGAUCUAAUUCUUCAAACAGAAACAUUCGCAUUACAUUGGAAACAAAAAUGAAGGUAUUGCUUAUAAUUAAGUAAUUUAAAGAGACAAGAGAAAUAACAUGAUU
rnacentral:lncRNA from 1 species